AUCAAUAACAAUGAGGUACAACCUUACAUGUUUGAGCCUUUGGCCAACGCGCUAGGUGGUCAAAAUGAUGACAAUUCUUCGUCAUCGGAAAGCAAAGAUGAAUACAUUCACAGAAUUGGAAAUGUUGAAUGGUUAGUUGCAUUUUAUUUAUUCAAGCGAGAUUUAUGUUGCUUAAUGGCUUCAGCUUUGCUGAUUUUUGAUUUGUGGCGAGUCAAUGGGAGAGGUAUUUCUUUCACUCCAGCGACAUCAAGAGCUUUGGACAGUGUUGGAUUAAUGCGUCUGCAGUACAAAACUUCUUUCAUCAAGUCCUUAACAUAUCCUGAAAAGCAAAUCAUUAUUUAUGUUGGCUUUGCAUUGCACUUUGAGAAAAGAAAGAAUGGGUAUGUUUUGGUGCAAAAAGAAUCACCACUCGGUGGAAACCUUUGAUGGAUGAAGUCUGCUUCUGAUAACUGAGUUUUCCAGUAUCUCUCAUGAGAUACUUGGACUCAACAAUCGAAGACAGCUCAACAUAAGCUUUUGAACCUAAGAUCAGAACUCUAACAUAUAAUGUUCACAUUUUGGGAAUACAUCACUAUGUCCCUCAUGGAUGUCACAUAUAUGGUUGAGAACUGACAACCACUUUGUCUUGACAAGUUCUUCAUCACCAUUGCUGGAAGCAGCACACCAGUAUACAUGGUUGGAAAUUGAUUGGGCCCAAUCUGACAAUAAUUUGCAACCACUUUUUUUUGAUGCUGCCAAAAUUUUCUUUUUGAUUCCUGUUGGAUUUUGGUAAUUGAUGAAAUGUAUAAAAGGUUGGUUUGUUAUGACAAUCUAUACCUUUUGCUACAUCCCAUACAUCAAAGUAGUGCUCGAUUUUUGGUCUUUGUUUUGACAUGUGGGAUUUGAUUUGAGCAUGUCUGUCUGUGGUCAUUGACUUCACCUUCAUCCCACUUUCAUCAAACUUUGCCAGACAUCUUUUUAAUCCCUCAAGUUCCAUUGCUCCAGAGUUCGUCACUUCAUUGGACUGUUUAACAUAAUUAUAUUCCAAAUCCAUGCAGCUAUAUGACCCAUACUUGGCACAAUAUCCAGGCGAAUCACAUCUUCUAUCUCCUCCAAGGUUAAUGUUCCUUUCUCUGAUUGAUUCUAGAAGAUGCUUUUGGUUCAUAUGCCAAACAUUUGAAACACUGGGUAUCAAAUACGCUGUUUGAAUAUAGCUAUAUGUGCGCUCUGACAGAAAUUGUAUGCCUGAGUGACGAAGGAAUUGAAGAACUUUGCUGGGGCUACUACCACUAAACAAGAUGCUGGCAGCAAAGACCAAGUUGCCCAAAGACAUUCGCCCUUGCAGAGGUUGGCUAUUCCUGUCUCGAGCAUAACCACAAUGACAUUUUGCAAGUACGUUAACCAUACUACCAGUCGUUUUGGUCAAAAUAGAACAGCUUUCACCACAACAUGGGCAUUGACUCACUAACUGUCUCAGGCAACUAUCAAACACUAUGUAUUUUCUCUCAUUUUGAGCAUCUUUCCUAUAACAUAAAAA